AAUUUUGGAGUGUUAAUAACAGUUCCCAAGAACAAAAUACUGAAAGUUUUUAUUUUUUAUUUUUUAUUUUGGUUGUAUUUUUAAUAUAUGCUUUGAUUUUCGAUUUUCAAUUCUUCUUGAUAUUGUAGAAGGUGCAGCAAGGAAGAUGAUCAUCAGUUGGUCGCAUCUGCAAAUGGAGAUGAUUUUGGCGGGAAGAAGUGCAAUAGACGUAGCAAUUAUCUAUUCUAAAGUUGGAGGGGAAUUCGCCUAUUCAUGGCCACAGUCAAGAAAAUGCCACUCGAAUUCAUUCCAUGUGCAAAAAUACCAGCCAAAUUAGGCUGGAUUGGGAGGGUAAUUCUCAAAAGUUUUGAGGGUGAUUUGUCCGUAUGGUUUGGCACGGAGCCACUCGAUUUCAUGCUAUUUACAACAAUACCAGCCAAAUGGGGCUGGGUUGGGAGGGUAAUUUUGUCCGUAUGGAUUGGCACGGAUUGCUGGGUUACAAGCGUGCGCUCUCCUCUCAUCUCUCAUUCUUCCUCUCUCUCCCCUACUCAAACCCUAGCAGCCAUAACACCAUCUCUGGAAUAGCAUCGACUCCUGCUUCCUAAAACCAAACCACACAAACUGAACUCCAUUUCUGUAACUCGAGAGCUUUGGUGAGAUGAAGGAGAGGAGCAGGGAGAUGGGCUCGAGUCCGCCAACGGCGGAAGAGAUCUUCAGGGAUUACUGUGCUCCGAGAACCGACGUCGUCCACUCUUUAACUAACGGGAUUUUGUUUGUAGAGCGUGAAGAUGUCUCUUCUCGAGUCUUCUGCUUCAUUCCGUUUCUCUCAUCCAAAAAAUUAAUCGCUGCUUCUCAAACUCUCUUUCUGUCUCGCACUGCCAUACCAGGCGCCGCAGCCGCUCAAAGGCAGGGUCUCCAAAGGCGGCGUUUUGUAAAACCCUCCCUACUCAAGGCAAGUAAUUUCAUGCCCAAUUUGGAAUUUAAAUCUAUUUAUUUUAUUUUUAAAUUGAUUUGGGGUUACUGAAAUCAGCUAUGGAAAAUCUGCUACUGUCUGAGAAAACUCAAUACUACAGUUUUUGAAAAGCUGCUUAAUGGAAGUGAAAUUUCCAGUUUUUGAGCCCGAUUUCAAGUCUUGAACUUUGAAUUUGUCUAUAUGUAGCUCGGUUGAAGCUAUCUACGUCGUACUUUAAUGUAUUUGUAUUGGUAAUUAUGUGUUUAUGUUGCGCAAAUGAGUUGUCCCAAUAUCUUUUGUGUGCAAUGUGGUGUAGAAAUGUGGGUUUUGAUGUUUUGGCAGGCAUUGGAAAAAAAAUUGAAAUUGGUUUUCGCUCAAUGCAUAGUUAAUCUUAAAAUACGGUUUAUUAAAUUGGGUUCAUGAAUAUAUGGGUGGUAGCAAAUUAGCAACGAUGAGACUUGCAAGGAAGAGGCUGCAACAGGACCCACCUACAGGGAUUAGCGAGGUGCCCCAGGAUAACAAUAUAAUGUUGUGGAAUGCUAUUAUAUUGGGUGUUUCUUGAGUAGUUUUCUGGAAGUAAGAAAAGAUGGGCAUUUGUUUGAUCAUGUGUAUAAGUAUUUGAUAGUGAAUACAUGCAGAAUGCUUCACAAUUGAAAAGAAGUAGAAUGGUAUUUUCAGCUGCCAGUGCCUAAACCCCCAACAAAAUGGAAGCUUUUGUUAGAUUAAUUUUCGAUGGAUCAUGUCGUCUGAGUAGUAUACAAGCCGGACAUUGUAUCUUUGAGAAUGUUUAUGGUGUAUAGUUCUGCAUAAGUUGAUUUUAGGAGUGGUAUGUAACUGUAUAUGGAGCUACGUGGUGCAUGCAGUGGAAAUUUUAUGAUUUAGGAUUUUUUUAUUUCCUCCCUGUAGUUGUUUUAUGUAUGGUGGAUGAGUUGAAUUUGGAAGUAAAGCAACUCAAUGGUUGUCUUUUUCUUUUUUAUUUAUUGCAAGAAUGCUACUAGAAGAAUGGCAGAUUUUAUCAUGACUGUCAUUGAAGAUUUAUCUUGAAUCCGGACAGGUUUUUGUCAAUUGUUAUUUACGAAGGUUGUGACUGUUUGUGCUGGCACCGAAAUAAAGUUUGUAGAAGGUUGCUGACCAACAAUAAAAGAUAGCGUGCAAUUUUUAUUUUAAUGAAUCUUAUUAAAUGCAUUUGAGUACCACAAAAUUUUACUCAAUUAUUUAUUAGUAAAAUCACUCUCUUCACUAAAACUGUUAUUCAUUUACAUUAACAACUUUUAUUUUUCCAAUUUGUAACAAAGAAGUGUGUAUAUCAUGAAAAAUAAAAGACGGCAAUUCUGAAGUGACAACCAAGAUAGUUUAGAAGUGUAAUAUAGUUGUAAUCAGGAAUGUAAACCAGGGAUGAAAAAUGUUAAUAUAAUUCUGAUUCUGGACGACUCAUGCAAAUUUUAUCUGAAUUUUAAUAAUUUUUUAUCUGGGUGUACAGUAACAUUUGUGAUUUGUUGUUUAUGUGGUGAAAAAAUAAGAUGGCUUUAUACUUUAUACUUUUUAUGAGACUUAAUUUUGAGUUUUGAAUUUGAGUUCUCAUGCAAGAAGAAAGGUCACUUGGGUUUUGAGUUCCCAUAUAUUUUCAUUGUUUCAUUUAUACAUCUGUUGGAGAACUAGAGGGGGUUGGGAGGCAGAUAAGUGAGACUUCUGAUGGUUAUACAGAAAUAAAUGGUCUCUCACAUCUUGAACCAGAUUACUCUAGGUUUUGGCAGGUAUGAAUGAUUCUAGCCUUUUUUUUAGAGGAACUAUGUUGUCCAUAUCAAUCAGAAUAUUCUGUUAUUAGAAGCAAUUACAUAGAGUUAGGCCAACUAAAAUGGUUGGACAAAAAAAAUGGUCCUAAUUGUUCACUCUCUAAUGAUGUUGGCAAGUAACGUUGAUUGUUCUAAACGUUGGCGGUGCUUCUGUUUUCCAUAAUGUAAGCCCAAGAUUAUGCAGUGGUGCUCAAUUUGGAUUUGUUGCAUAGCUAGAAAGAUGAUCUUGCAGUCUUUGUUGAAGACAGUUAUAUGCCAAGGUAUUGAUUCUUUCGAAUCCCAGUUUAAAAAAAGUCAGAUUUAUAUAUAUUUUGCAUAAUUAUAAUUAGUCUACUUGGGUUAGCUUAAGAUUACAUAAAACAACCUACUACAUGGGGGAAUAAAUCUUUCUUAUAGCAUGCAUAUCCAUAUAUAACAAGCAAAGUUUCACUUCCUUUAGUGCCCAAGACCGUCUUUCCUUUAGCUUAUAAUUAGCUGCUCAUGAAUUCUUGGCAUCUUAUUUUAUUAUUCUUAUUGGGGUGUUUUAUAGCACUGUAGAUUUUUUCAAGGAGCUUCCUCAGUUUGUUGUCUAAGGCUGGUUAAUUUUAAGUAAUAUUUAUGGUGUAGAUUGGGAAAACAAACUUGAGGUAUUAAUUUUUCAGAGAUGGUUUAUGCUUGAAAUUAGCCCUGUUUUUAUAUCUUCCAACAUUCUGUUUUCUUCGAGUUACCGUGUCCUUGAAAAUUUGCUGAAACAACAAUGGAACAAUUUUUUUUUUUUUUUUGUUAACUGCUGAAAGAGGUGUCAGGCCUACAGGUCAUAUAUUUUGCCACCUUAGCUGCAAGGGCAAAAUAUGUGUGGACUGCAUCAUGCUUUUGUUUCUUAUGGAAAUAGGUGUCCUGUGUUUUUUUUUUUUCAUUGAACAUUAGUGCUUGAAAGCUUAGCUGCUGAAACAAAAAUAGAUACUUUUAAUGUUUUUUGUUAACUGCUAAAACAGGCGGCUGGCCUGUAGGACAUAUAUUUCGCAAUCUUAACUUCAGAGGCAAUAUAUGUGUGAACUGCAUGUUGCUUCUGUUUCUUAUGGAAACAUAGGAUUUUUUGCAACCACAUCUUUUGUAAU